GGACUACCCGGGUUUCUAAUCCUGUUUGCUCCCCUAGCUUUCGUCCCUCAGCGUCAGUUGCGAUCCAGCGAGCCGCUUUCGCCUCGGAUGUUCCUGCGGAUAUCUACGCAUUUCACCGCUACACCCGCAAUUCCGCUCGCCUCUCUCGCACUCGAGCACGGCAGUUUCGGGAGCAGCCUCUGGGUUAAGCCCAGAGAUUUCACUUCCGACUUGCCGCACCGCCUACGGACCCUUUACGCCCAGUAAUUCCGAGCAACGCUGGCCCCCUACGUUUUACCGCGGCGGCUGGCAC
rnacentral:rRNA from 1 species